AUUGAACGCUGGCGGCAGGCCUAACACAUGCAAGUCGAACGGUAACAGGAAACAGCUUGCUGUUUCGCUGACGAGUGGCGGACGGGUGAGUAAUGUCUGGGAAACUGCCUGAUGGAGGGGGAUAACUACUGGAAACGGCAGCUAAUACCGCAUAACGUCGCAAGACCAAAGAGGGGGACCCUCGGGCCUCUUGCCAUCGGAUGUGCCCAGAUGGGAUUAGCUUGUUGGUGGGGUAACGGCUCACCAAGGCGACGAUCCCUAGCUGGUCUGAGAGGAUGACCAGCCACACUGGAACUGAGACACGGUCCAGACUCCUACGGGAGGCAGCAGUGGGGAAUAUUGCACAAUGGGCGCAAGCCUGAUGCAGCCAUGCCGCGUGUAUGAAGAAGGCCUUCGGGUUGCAAAGCACUUUCAGCGGGGAGGAAGGGAGUAAAGUUAAUACCUUUGCUCAUUGACGUUACCCGCAGAAGAAGCACCGGCUAACUCCGUGCCAGCAGCCGCGGUAAUACGGAGGGUGCAAGCGUUAAUCGGAAUUACUGGGCGUAAAGCGCACGCAGGCGGUUUGUUAAGUCAGAUGUGAAAUCCCCGGCCCCCACCUGGGAACUGCAUCUGAUACUGGCAAGCUUGAGUCUCGUAGAGGGGGGUAGAAUUCCAGGUGUAGCGGUGAAAUGCGUAGAGAUCUGGAGGAAUACCGGUGGCGAAGGCGGCCCCCUGGACGAAGACUGACGCUCAGGUGCGAAAGCGUGGGGAGCAAACAGGAUUAGAUACCCUGGUAGUCCACGCCGUAAACGAUGUCGACUUGGAGGUUGUGCCCUUGAGGCGUGGCUUCCGGAGCUAACGCGUUAAGUCGACCGCCUGGGGAGUACGGCCGCAAGGUUAAAACUCAAAUGAAUUGACGGGGGCCCGCACAAGCGGUGGAGCAUGUGGUUUAAUUCGAUGCAACGCGAAGAACCUUACCUGGUCUUGACAUCCACGGAAGUUUUCAGAGAUGAGAAUGUGCCUUCGGGAACCGUGAGACAGGUGCUGCAUGGCUGUCGUCAGCUCGUGUUGUGAAAUGUUGGGUUAAGUCCCGCAACGAGCGCAACCCUUAUCCUUUGUUGCCAGCGGUCCGGCCGGGAACUCAAAGGAGACUGCCAGUGAUAAACUGGAGGAAGGUGGGGAUGACGUCAAGUCAUCAUGGCCCUUACGACCAGGGCUACACACGUGCUACAAUGGCGCAUACAAAGAGAAGCGACCUCGCGAGAGCAAGCGGACCUCAUAAAGUGCGUCGUAGUCCGGAUUGGAGUCUGCAACUCGACUCCAUGAAGUCGGAAUCGCUAGUAAUCGUGGAUCAGAAUGCCACGGUGAAUACGUUCCCGGGCCU
rnacentral:rRNA from 1 species